GUUUGUUACAUAAAGAUUUGUCACAGAGGAGGUUGAUUUUGUGUUCCAAGCCUGUGAUCAUUAACUGUUUUCCAGCUCUACCAGCAUCCUGUCCAAGCCUUUAAGAUGAGGAACAAAUUCUAUGUGAGGAGAAAUGGCAAAAAUUGGUAUGCCUCUGCUUUUCUGAUUUCCCAUUCCCUUCCAUUUCUCUUAUUAACAAAUAAAAGUAAGGAAAUCCUGUCCUGUGGAUAACUUCCCAUUGACUUGCAGAGAGCUCAGACAUGCUAUGGUAGAUAUGGAUACUGUUUUGUUUUUGUUUUUUGAGAUGGAGUCUUGCUCAGUCACCCAGGCUGGAGUGCAGUGGCAUGAUCUCAGCCCACUGCAAACUCCGCCUCCCAGGUUCAAGUGAUUCUCCUGACUCAGCCUCCCGAGUAGCUGGGAUUACAAGCAGAUGCCACCACACCCAGCUAAUUUUUGUAUUUUUAGUAGAGACAAGGUUUAACCAUCUUUACUAAACAGACUAGGCUCGUCUUGAACUCCUGACUUCAAGUGAUCUGCCCACCUCAGCCUCCCAACGUGCUGGGAUUAUAGGUGUGAGACACUGCACCUUGCCAGUGGUGGAUAUUGUUGAUUUAAAAUAAUAGAAAUAAUAAAUCUCCAAUCUCAGGGAAGUUUCCAUAGUCCUAAAGUCAAAACUUCCGAUCUUGCCGUGUGCUUGAAUUAUCCUCAAUUAGAGUCCCUGCUGCUGUUGCUUGUCGCUGUAAUUAUUCUGUCAUCAUUAAUUCAAUGAAGCCUAUUAACCCACAUCAGAUAGUGUAUUUAUCUACAAUGCAUGUUACCUGCUCCUCUAGAUAAGACAGCUGUCAUACUUCAAGUCUGCUGUCUCUUUGUUGAGGUCCAGUAGUGUCAGUCUGCAAGUGUUUCAUAUACAUUACAGAAUCCCCAUUAAUGGUUGAUAUGAUUAGGCUUUGUGUCCCCACCCAAAUCUCAUCUUGAAUUACAUUCCCUAUAAUCCCCACAUGUCAAGGGAGAGACCAGGUGGAGAUAAUUAAAUCAUGGGGGCAGUUUCCCCCACGCUGUUUUCAUGACAGUGCGUUCUCACGAGAUCUGAUGGUUUUAUAAGGAACGCUUCCCUCUUUGCUUGGCAUUUCUCCUUCCUGCUGCCUUGUGAAGAAGAUGCAUUGUUUUCCUCUUCACUUUCUGCCACAAUUGUAAGUUUCCUGAGGCCUCCCCAGCCAUGCUGAACUGUAAGUCAGUUAAACCUCUUUCCUUUAUAAAUUACACGGUCUCAGGCAGUUCUUUACAGCAGUAUGAAAAUGGAGUAAUACAAUGAUGUUCUUAUAACUUCCCAGACUGGAAGGCUUGCUGGUCUUGUGAGAUACUGAACUGGAGACAGCAGAAAAAUGCAUCCUCCUGAUAUUAGUCUCAGUCUGUUGCCCAGGCUGGAAUGCAGUGGCACAGUCUCA
rnacentral:lncRNA from 1 species